GUUUUUGCUGGUAAUCCUUCAAGAGGUAAUAGCAAAAUAGACAGGAUAAGGAUGAGCCCUUUAGCCAGGAUAGGUAAAGCUCCAAAAAGAAAGUAAAAAAUUGUAUUCAUGUACAUAUUUCUAUGCUACUUUAGUAAUGACAAAAAUAAGGAAAGAUAAAAGCAAUUAACCCAUGACACAUGUAACAAAUCAAACCAAACUUUUAUGGUAACAAGACAAUAUCUCUUGUGCAUCAUUAAGCACAAUAAUCUUGAGAAAAAAUAUGUCUUCUAUGCUCCUAAGAAAUUUAAAAUAAACAUUUAUUGACAGAAAUCUGUCUCUGGAAUGAAUAAGUUCUCUGGUGAUAAUAUAUUGAAAGAAAGAAACCAUCAUCCACAAAUUGAGGUUUCCAUGUUACAGGAUACAAGGUUUUUUUUUUUCAAAAGAAUAUUAUCAAGCACAAAAGAUAAAAUAAUUCUAUCUAGAUUUGUGAAAACACCCAAGGUAUUUCUCAAUAAAAAACUAUUUCAAAAGAUGUAGAUCAGUAGAUGCCAUGCCCU
rnacentral:misc_RNA from 1 species